UACGUAGGGUCCGAGCGUUUGUCCGGAAUUACUGGGCGUAAAGAGCUCGUAGGUGGUUUGUCGCGUUGUCCGUGAAAACUCACAGCUUAACUGUGGGCGUGCGGGCGAUACGGGCAGACUGGAGUACUGCAGGGGAGACUGGAAUUCCUGGUGUAGCGGUGGAAUGCGCAGAUAUCAGGAGGAACACCGGUGGCGAAGGCGGGUCUCUGGGCAGUAACUGACGCUGAGGAGCGAAAGCGUGGGGGAGCGAACAGG
rnacentral:rRNA from 1 species